GUGUCAGCCGCCGCGGUAAUACGUAGGGGGCAAGCGUUGUCCGGAAUCAUUGGGCGUAAAGAGCGUGUAGGCGGCCCGAUAAGUCCGCUGUGAAAGUCGAGGGCUCAACCCUCGAAUGCCGGCGGAUACUGUCGGGCUAGAGUCCGGAAGAGGCGAGUGGAAUUCCUGGUGUAGCGGUGAAAUGCGCAGAUAUCAGGAGGAACACCUACGGCGAAGGCAGCUCGCUGGGACGGUACUGACGCUGAGACGCGAAAGCGUGGGGAGCAAACAGGAUUAGAAACCCGUGUAGUCC
rnacentral:rRNA from 1 species